ensembl:lncRNA
GGGGUGUUUUCUCCAAAAUGUUAAGUUCAUAUAAGAAAAAGGAUACAUAUAAUCAAGUUCAUCUUUGAUAAAUAGUAUUUAUCACAUUAUUGUUAUACACAAAGCAAGCACAGUAGUCCCACAUCUGUAAAAAAAAAACAUUUUAAUUUCGCAGUAUUUCCUGUUUGCUAUGCAAACAACCAUUAACCUUUUUGCCCUAGAGGAGAAGCAAGCUUAUUGGUCCCAGGUAAGGUACCCAUGCUCCUCUCCUCUGGGAAUAGACCAUUCCCUUCCAUUGCAGCCUAGCUGGAGCGAACCAUCUGCGUCAGGGGAACCAUUUCAAAUCAUUUCCAUUUCCAGUGGAUGGGUGAACUGCACCUCAGAGCAUUCUUGUAGACAGGCCAGCAGUACUGAGCUCUCGAGUGGCGCAGCAGUCUAAGGCACUACAUCUCAGUGCAAGAGGCGUCACUACAGUCUGGUUCGAAUCCAGAAUGCAUCACAUAUGGUUGUGAUUGCGAGUCCCCAUAGGACGGCGCACAAUUGGCCCAGCGUCGUCCGGGUUUGGCCGGUGUAGGCCGUCAUUGUAAAAAAUAAUUUGUCCUUAAAAUGACUUUCCUAGUUCAAUAAAGGUUCAAUAAAAAUACUGUGUGUAGUACUUGUGUAAGCCUGACAGUGGACUCCUCUGAUGCAAGUCGGCUGGUCCCUUGAGGAUCUUGACAAACACCACAGGGUCUUUGGCCUUGUUGCUGAACACUGCAUGCUGAUGGGUCACACGCUGCAGAGACUCACCGUCCACUGAAACCAGCUCAUACCACGCCUGGAGACACACACAAAGACAGGUUAAAGGUUGAUGCAGACGCCAACACUGUGCAGUGACCGGGGCUCCCACUCAGCAUCUACUGCUCUCCUUCAUCCCAGUACAUUCAUUACCAUAUUCUCUCACUCGCUCACACACACUCAGCCUCAGCAGAAGGUUAUGUUGAAAACACAAACACACAAUGCAUUGUUUAAUGCAGGAAGAGUUCUAGAACCCUGAGGAGAGGAACUUCCUGUGAUGUCAUCAGGGCUCACUGAGGAUGCACCUGGCUGACAGCCCCAAUGAAGGGUCACACACAAUCACAAGGCCAGAGGUAUGUGACAUUACACGGUCUCUUCUCGAUUUUCCCCAAACCAGGGCCCUGUUUGAACUGAAAAUACAUCUCCAUCUCCCCUAGCAUUGGUUAACCCAAAACAUUGCUGCCUUCCCUUCCGUGACGCCUUGCUGUCCCCAGUCCACCUGGCCGUGCUGCAGCUCCAGUUUCAACUGUUCUGCCUUAUUAUUAUUCGACCAUGCUGGUCAUUUAUGAACAUCUUGGCCAUGUUCUGUUAUAAAUCUCCACCCGGCACAGCCAGAAGAGGACUGGCCACCCCACAUAGCCUGGUUCCUCUCUAGGUUUCUUCCUAGGUUUUGGCCUUUCUAGAGAGUUUUUCCUAGCCACCGUGCUUCUACACCUGCAUUGCUUGCUGUUUGGGGUUUUAGGCUGGGUUUCUGUACAGCACUUUGAGAUAUCAGCUGAUGUACGAAGGGCUAUAUAAAUACAUUUGAUUUGACACCAGCACCAAAAUACUUCAAUCCAUUUAACUAAAAAGCAGAUUAAAGUGCAAAGUCAUUUUGAAUAUUAGACAAUCACAUUCAUCCUCUUAGGUAAACAUUUAUGGAUGCUCUUUUUGGGCCUUUCUCUCUCACCCUGUCCAUGUCUAGCCAAUAGGCAUCAUCCACAUGUAAGUUUGUUUAACAUUAGUUAGAUGGGCAUUGCUCCUAGUAGGUAGUGGAUCACUGUCCAGACUCCAGGUCAUAUGUCUGGAGACAGCAACACCAAAACUCUAGGACAGGAUAAAUAGUAUAAUCCUGGUGCUGUUGACUACACAGUAACCUUACUCAGCUAACAGCACAGAUGAAAAAGAGAGAGACAGACACCCACACACAGAGAAAGAGAGAGACACAGAGAGAGAAACACACACACACACACAGAAAGAAACAGACACACACACCUGGUGGCUAGCUAAAAGAUAUGGGUGUCUUCAGACAGGAACAGGGGGACAGGAAAGCCUGCUAUAGUUGUCUAUUUGGUCUCAGUGUGUGGGAGACAGCCAGCAGAGAGACACCAGACAGGGACUAUUUGGUCUCAGUGUGUGGGAGACAGCCAGCAGACACACCAGAUAAGGACCAGCUAUCAGGCCAUGCCAGAGAGGUGUGAGGCUGAGUUAAAAAACAGGAGAGGGGGGGGUGUCAGAGUAAAGCAACCAACCAUGUCUCUCGGUUUCCCUCUCUCUUCCAACCAUGUCUCUCUGUUUCCCUCUCUCUUCCAACCAUGUUUCUCUGUUUCCCUCUCUCCCAACCAUGUCUCUCUGUUUCCCUCUCUCCCAACCAUGUCUCUCUGUUUCCCUCUCUCCCAACCAUGUCUCUCUGUUUCCCUCUCUCUCCCAACCAUGUCUCUCUGUUUCCCGCUCUCUCCCAACCAUGUCUCUCUCCCAACCAUGUCUCUCUGUUUCCCGCUCUCUCCCAACCAUGUCUCAGUUUCCCUCCCUC